rnacentral:rRNA from 1 species
GAUGAACGCUGGCGGCGUGCCUAAUACAUGCAAGUCGAGCGAACGGACGAGAAGCUUGCUUCUCUGAUGUUAGCGGCGGACGGGUGAGUAACACGUGGAUAACCUACCUAUAAGACUGGGAUAACUUCGGGAAACCGUAGCUAAUACCGGAUAAUAUUUUGAACCGCAUGGUUCAAAAGUGAAAGACGGUCUUGCUGUCACUUAUAGAUGGAUCCGCGCUGCAUUAGCUAGUUGGUAAGGUAACGGCUUACCAAGGCAACGAUGCAUAGCCGACCUGAGAGGGUGAUCGGCCACACUGGAACGGAGACACGGUCCAGACUCCUGCGGGAGGCAGCAGUAGGGAAUCGUCCGCAAAGGGCGGAAGCCUUACGGAGCAACGCCGCGUGAGUUAUGAAGGUCUUCGGAUCGGAAAACUCUGUUAUUAGGGAAGAACAUAUUUGUAAGUAACUGUGCACAUCGUGACGGUACCGAAUCAGAAAGCCACGGCUAACUACGUG